GAGACAUCGAUGUGAAAGAGAAACUUCGAUGGCUUCCUAUAUGUACCUGGACUGCAACCUAGCUCAGAGUCCAAGUCUAAUCAGAGAUCUUCAUGAAGAUGUUCCCUGCUCUCAUCUAUCUUCUUAGAGGCAAUUUUGAUAUCUGUAAUGGCC